rnacentral:rRNA from 1 species
UAAUACUGGAUAUGAGCCGUCCUCGCAUGGGGGUGGUUGGAAAGUUUUUCGGUCAGGGAUGGGCUCGCGGCCUAUCAGCUUGUUGGUGGGGUGAUGGCCUACCAAGGCGACGACGGGUAGCCGGCCUGAGAGGGCGACCGGCCACACUGGGACUGAGACACGGCCCAGACUCCUACGGGAGGCAGCAGUGGGGAAUAUUGCACAAUGGGCGCAAGCCUGAUGCAGCGACGCCGCGUGAGGGAUGAAGGCCUUCGGGUUGUAAACCUCUUUCAGCAGGGAAGAAGCGCAAGUGACGGUACCUGCAGAAGAAGCGCCGGCUAACUACGUGCCAGCAGCCCGCGGUAAUACGUAGGGCGCAAGCGUUGUCCGGAAUUAUUGGGCGUAAAGAGCUCGUAGGCGGUUUGUCGCGUCUGGUGUGAAAACUCGAGGCUCAACCUCGAGCUUGCAUCGGGUACGGGCAGACUAGAGUGCGGUAGGGGAGACUGGAAUUCCUGGUGUAGCGGUGGAAUGCGCAGAUAUCAGGAGGAACACCGAUGGCGAAGGCAGGUCUCUGGGCCGCAACUGACGCUGAGGAGCGAAAGCAUGGGGAGCGAACAGGAUUAGAUACCCUGGUAGUCCAUGCCGUAAACGUUGGGCACUAGGUGUGGGGCUCAUUCCACGAGUUCCGUGCCGCAGCAAACGCAUUAAGUGCC